UUUAUGUGUAAAAAAAAAUAGCUGAUAAUAUGUUUAUGGCCUGUGCUUUAGGGAAAUCGCUGGACCUUUACCUAAAUUCCUGAAGAUGAAACCAGGAUUUACAAUGUUUUUGAUGAUUCUGACACAGCUCUUGAUCAUGGGUAAGUAAGAAAUUUUACUUCUAAAUGACAGCUAACAGUGGAAAAAGGAUACAGACCUCUCCUAUAAUGACGUUUUUAAUCAUCGAUGUACACAGCGUCAGUAACCUCAGCAGACACAACAGUUGCAGCCACCACUGCAGGAGGCACCACAGCGGGUGGGACUGCCACAGCCACUAAGAGUGCGGCUGAGACCACAGCAGCGGCCAACACAGCAGCGACUAACACAGCAGCGACCAACACAGCAGCGACCAACACAGCAGCAACAGCAGCCACAGCAUCAAACUCCACCACAAACUCCACUGCCAACACUGCUGCUGUGACACAUUCAGGGAUCACAUACACCAGCAGUCUGAUUGUGUGUCACUUCAUGGUUCUUCUUUACAAGUACUUUUUUACGGUGUGAUGCAGUUGUGUUGCCUUUAUCUGUCUAUCCAGAGUAUAUAACUUAUGUUGAAGUAUGGAGCCUUAUAACCAUGUGAAGCACUUUUGCUGAUGGUUUGAGUAAAUCCAAAUGAUGUAUCAUGUUAGUGUGGAC